GACGAACGCUGGCGGCGUGCUUAACACAUGCAAGUCGAACGGAAAGGCCCUGCUUUUGUGGGGUGCUCGAGUGGCGAACGGGUGAGUAACACGUGAGUAACCUGCCCUUGACUUUGGGAUAACUUCAGGAAACUGGGGCUAAUACCGGAUAGGAGCUCCUGCUGCAUGGUGGGGGUUGGAAAGUUUCGGCGGUUGGGGAUGGACUCGCGGCUUAUCAGCUUGUUGGUGGGGUAGUGGCUUACCAAGGCUUUGACGGGUAGCCGGCCUGAGAGGGUGACCGGCCACAUUGGGACUGAGAAACGGCCCAGACUCCUACGGGAGGCAGCAGUGGGGAAUAUUGCACAAUGGGCGGAAGCCUGAUGCAGCAACGCCGCGUGCGGGAUGACGGCCUUCGGGUUGUGAACCGCUUUCGCCUGUGACGAAGCGUGAGUGACGGUAAUGGGUAAAGAAGCACCGGCUAACUACGUG
rnacentral:rRNA from 1 species